CACUGGAGCAGCCUUCCUGGCUGAGACAGAGAGCUGGUCCUGCUUCGAGCAGGGACCUGCACCAGGUGAGCUUGGAGGUCCCGUCCUGUGCAGUUCUGCCAGUCUACGCUGGAGAUCAGGGUG